UAACUUUCAACAACGGAUCUCUUGGCUCUCGCAUCGAUGAAGAACGCAGCGAAAUGCGAUAAGUAAUGUGAAUUGCAGAAUUCAGUGAAUCAUCGAAUCUUUGAACGCACCUUGCGCCCCUUGGCAUUCCGAGGGGCACGCCUGUUUGAGUGUCGUGAACUCCU
rnacentral:rRNA from 1 species